rnacentral:rRNA from 1 species
CAUCGCCACGGGAAUACAGAGGGUGCGAGCGUUAAUCGGAUUUACUGGGCGUAAAGCGUGCGUAGGCGGCUAAUUGAGUCGGAUGUGAAAUCCCCGAGCUUAACUUGGGAAUUGCAUUCGAUACUGGUUAGCUAGAGUGUGGGAGAGGAUGGUAGAAUUCCAGGUGUAGCGGUGAAAUGCGUAGAGAUCUGGAGGAAUACCGAUGGCGAAGGCAGCCAUCUGGCCUAACACUGACGCUGAGGUACUAAAGCAUGGGGAGCAAACAGGAUUAGAUACCCCAGUAGUCCCUGUCUCUUAUACC